AUAGCCGGGCCCCGGCGCCGUGGGUCUCUUUGUCUGGGGAACUGCCUCAUGGCGCCUGUGCGUGAGCUGCAGUGCCAGCCUGCCUCCAAAGGAGGGGAUGGCGGCGGUGCGGCGCCCCGGCCAUCUGUGCACGGCUCCCCGGCAGGUACUACGGGCCCUGCUGGGGCGGGGACCGCAGUCUCGGGCUGAGCAGGAGGAAUCGCCCUUACAGACUCGAGUGUCUGAUGUCUGCGUGACGCCACUGCUUGGGACUGACACAGUCCGCGGCACGGGGCACUCGGCUGGAGGCGUGUUUCUUUGAAGGCCCCGGAUUCCCGCAGGCGGGUCUACCGCGCCUUGAGGGGGCUUAAGGUGUCCACCGGUGUCAUCCUUGAGGAAAGCAUGCGUUCUGGAAGCCCCGCCAGGGCAGUGCCCUUUCAGAGAUCCACCACUGACCUGGUGGCCUGAGAGCCUGCGUUACUCCUGUUGGAGGGCUGAGAUGGCUGGGAUGCCUACGUAAUAAACGGUUCCUGCCACUUCAGGCCAUGACAAGAGCCAGGGGCUUUCUCUCUGGCUACUACGGGUUUUGCUCGAUCAAAGGAUGCUAUCUGGUGUUGGGCAGAUCCUAGGAACUCCCAUCUUUCCUGCAUUAGCCCGUGUGAGCAGCUGUCAACUUGCCGGAGGAAAAUACUGCCUAGAAAUUCGGGAACAAAUAUCAGUAGCUUUCACUUCUUUAUAUGGUUAUAUGGCUUUAUCAAAAUGAUUCCAAUAAAACAUAUUAAAGCAAA